rnacentral:rRNA from 1 species
AUACGGAAGGUCCGGGCGUUAUCCGGAUUUAUUGGGUUUAAAGGGAGCGCAGGCGGAGAUGCAAGCGUGACGUCAAAUUUCGGGGCUCAACCCCGUCUCGCGUCGCGAACUGCGUCCCUUGGUUGCGGGAAGGGGAGGCGGAACUCGUGGUGUAGCGGUGAAAUGCAUAGAUAUCACGAAGAACUCCGAUCGCGAAGGCAGCCUUCCGGCCCGUCAACGACGCUCAUGCUCGAAGGUGCGGGUAUCAAACAGGAUUAGAUACCCUGGUAGUCCGCACAGUAACCGAUGGACACCCGCGGUUUGGCCUGUAUGGCUGAGCCGCCAAGCGAAAGCGUUAAGUGUCCCACCUGGGGAGUACGCCGGCAACGGUGAAACUCAAAUGAAUUGACGGGG